rnacentral:rRNA from 1 species
UGUGGGGACACUGUUGGGACCGCCUCUGCUAAAGAGGAGGAAGGAAUGGGCAACGGUAGGUCAGCAUGCCCCGAAUUAUCUGGGCUACACGCGGGCUACAAUGGGUGGGACAAUGGGUAUCGACACCGAAAGGUGAAGGCAAUCUCCUAAACCCAUCCGUAGUUCGGAUUGUGGGCUGCAACUCGCCCACAUGAAGCUGGAAUCUGUAGUAAUCGUGUCUCAAAAUGGCACGGUGAAUAUGUCCCUGCUCCUU